rnacentral:rRNA from 1 species
UACAGAGGGGGCAAGCGUUGUUCGGAAUUACUGGGCGUAAAGGGCGCGUAGGCGGCCCGCUAAGUCGAACGUGAAAUCCCCAGGCUCAACCUGGGAACUGCGUCCGAUACUGGCGGGCUUGAAUCCGGGAGAGGGAUGUGGAAUUCCAGGUGUAGCGGUGAAAUGCGUAGAUAUCUGGAGGAACACCGGUGGCGAAGGCGGCAUCCUGGACCGGUAUUGACGCUGAGGCGCGAAAGCUAGGGUAGCAAACGGG